rnacentral:rRNA from 1 species
GAUGAACGCUGGCGGCGUGCCUAACACAUGCAAGUCGAACGAAGCACCUUACCUGAUUCUUCGGAUGAAAGUUUGGUGACUGAGUGGCGGACGGGUGAGUAACGCGUGGGUAACCUGCCCUGUACAGGGGGAUAACAGCUGGAAACGGCUGCUAAUACCGCAUAAGCGCACGAGGAGACAUCUCCUUGUGUGAAAAACUCCGGUGGUACAGGAUGGGCCCGCGUCUGAUUAGCUGGUUGGCAGGGUAACGGCCUACCAAGGCAACGAUCAGUAGCCGGUCUCAGAGGAUGAACGGCCACAUUGGAACUGAGACACGGUCCAAACUCCUACGGGAGGCAGCAGUGGGGAAUAUUGCACAAUGGGGGAAACCCUGAUGCAGCAACGCCGCGUGAGUGAAGAAGUAUUUCGGUAUGUAAAGCUCUAUCAGCAGGGAAGAUAAUGACGGUACCUGACUAAGAAGCGCCGGCUAAAUACGUG